rnacentral:rRNA from 1 species
CAAUAGCGUAUAUUAAAGUUGUUGCGGUUAAAAAGCUCGUAGUUGGAUUUCUGCCGAGGACGAUCGGUCCGCCCUCUGGGUGAGUAUCUGGUUCGGCCUUGGCAUCUUCUUGGAGAACGUUACUGCACUUGAUUGUGUGGUGCGGUAUCCAGGACUUUUAUUUUGAGGAAAUUAGAGUGUUUCAAGCAGGCACACGCCUUGAAUACAUUAGCAUGGAAUAAUAAGAUAGGACGUUGGUUCUAUUUUGUUGGUUUCUAGAGCUGACGUAAUGAUUAAUAGGGAUAGUUGGGGGCAUUCGUAUUUAACUGUCAGAGGUGAAAUUCUUGGAUUUGUUAAAGACGAACUACUGCGAAAGCAUUUGCCAAGGAUGUUUUCAUUGA